UUGCAAUGAUGUUCUGAAUUUCUUCACCUGAACCAAUGGUGUGGAUUUAAAAUACGAGCUUUUUAACCCUGAGCAUC